AGUGAACGCUGGCGGUAGGCCUAACACAUGCAAGUCGAACGGCAGCACAGUAAGAGCUUGCUCUUACGGGUGGCGAGUGGCGGACGGGUGAGGAAUACAUCGGAAUCUACUUUUUCGUGGGGGAUAACGUAGGGAAACUUACGCUAAUACCGCAUACGACCUACGGGUGAAAGCAGGGGAUCUUCGGACCUUGCGCGAUUGAAUGAGCCGGUGUCGGAUUAGCUAGUUGGCGGGGUAAAGGCCCACCAAGGCGACGAUCCGUAGCUGGUCUGAGAGGAUGAUCAGCCACACUGGAACUGAGACACGGUCCAGACUCCUACGGGAGGCAGCAGUGGGGAAUAUUGGACAAUGGGCGCAAGCCUGAUCCAGCCAUACCGCGUGGGUGAAGAAGGCCUUCGGGUUGUAAAGCCCUUUUGUUGGGAAAGAAAAGCAGCAGGUUAAUACCCCGCUGUUCCGACGGUACCCAAAGAAUAAGCACCGGCUAACUUCGUG
rnacentral:rRNA from 1 species